rnacentral:rRNA from 1 species
UGGGGAAUUUUGGACAAUGGGCGAAAGCCUGAUCCAGCAAUGCCGCGUGUGUGAAGAAGGCCUUCGGGUUGUAAAGCACUUUUGUCCGGAAAGAAAUCCUUGGCUCUAAUACAGUCGGGGGAUGACGGUACCGGAAGAAUAAGCACCGGCUAACUACGUGCCAGCAGCCGCGGUAAUACGUAGGGUGCAAGCGUUAAUCGGAAUUACUGGGCGUAAAGCGUGCGCAGGCGGUUUGCUAAGACCGAUGUGAAAUCCCCGGGCUCAACCUGGGAACUGCAUUGGUGACUGGCAGGCUAGAGUAUGGCAGAGGGGGGUAGAAUUCCACGUGUAGCAGUGAAAUGCGUAGAGAUGUGGAGGAAUACCGAUGGCGAAGGCAGCCCCCUGGGCCAAUACUGACGCUCAUGCACGAAGGCGUGGGGAGCAAACAGGAUUAGAUACCCUGGUAGUCCACGCCCUAAAACGAUGUCAACUAGUUGUUGGGGGAUUCAUUUCCUUAGUAACGUAGCUAACGCGUGAAGUUGACCGCCUGGGGAGUACGGUCGCAAGAUUAAAACUUAAAUGAAUUG